GAGCAGCGUGCGGAUCCCCUUGGCCCCUUUGAUCAGACGCAAGAUUCGACCAAUCCUGGCGAGCCGGAUCACUCGGAACAGGGUAACAAAAAUCUCUGGAGGCCAAACGCUGCUCUAAACUGCCAUUGGUUCUAGCUCAGCUCUUGCAGACCUAUCACAAACUGGUGAGAGUCAUUUCCAAUGCAGGAAACUUGCUUUACUCCUUAUCUCUUAAAACCGUGCCAAACACAAAGACCUAUAGCCUACCUCUACUGAAGAAAUGAAUGCAUUAAUGAUGUGUCUUCCUAAUGUCUGGCAGGAGUAUGGUAACAAAAGAACUUCAGUAAAUCACUUUUCGAGCUCAGUUUGGAUGUUUCUGAGGAACUCUCAGAGAAGCCCAUCAUUC